UCACACCACGAAGGUUAGUAACACCCGAAGCCGGUGGCCUAACCCGCAAGGGAGGGAGCUGUCGAAGGUGGGACUGAUGAUUGGGGUGAAGUCGUAACAAGGUAGC
rnacentral:rRNA from 1 species